rnacentral:rRNA from 1 species
UGGUGGCUGGGAAUUCCGCCCUUAUGAGUUUCGAUUUAUUGGCUCAAAACGAACGCUGACGGCAGGCCUAACCCAUGCAAGUCGAGCGCACCUUCGGGUGAGCGGCGGACGGGUUAGUAACGCGUGGGAACGUACCCUUUUCUACGGAAUACCCUUUGGAAACGAAGAGUAAUACCGUAUACGCCCUUUGGGGGAAAGAUUUAUCGGAAAAGGAUCGGCCCGCGUUAGAUUGGAUAGUUGGUGGGGUAACGGCCUACCAAGUCUACGAUCUAUAGCUGGUUUUAGAGGAUGAUCAGCAACACUGGGACUGAGACACGGCUCAGACUCUUACGGGAGGCAGCAGUGGGGAAUCUUAAACAAUGGGCGCAAGCCUGAUCUAGCCAUGCCGCUUGAGUGAUGAAGGCCUUAGGGACGUAAAGCUCUUUCGCCUGUGAUGAUAAUGACAGUAGCAGGUAAAGAAACCCCGGCUAACUCCGUGCCAGCAGCCGCGGUAUACGGAGGGGGUUAGCGUGUUCGGAAUUACUGGGCGUAAAGCGCACGUAGGCGGAUGGGAAAGUGGGGGGUGAAAUCCCGGGGCUCAACCCCGGAACUGCCUCCAAAACUAUCAGUCUAGAGUUCGAGAGAGGUGAGUGGAAUUCCAAGUGUAGAGGUGAAAUUCGUAGAUAUUUGGAGGAACACCAGUGGCGAAGGCGGCUCACUGGCUCGAUACUGACGCUGAGGUGCGAAAGUGUGGGGAGCAAACAGGAUUAGAUACCCUGGUAGUCCACACCGUAAACGAUGAAUGCCAGUCGUCGGGCAGUAUACUGUUCGGUGACACACCUAACGGAUUAAGCAUUCCGCCUGGGGAGUACGGUCGCAAGAUUAAAACUCAAAGGAAUUGACGGGGGCCCGCACAAGCGGUGGAGCAUGUGGUUUAAUUCGAGGCAACGCGCAGAUCCUUACCAACCCUUGACAUACUCGUCGUCGCUCCAGAGAUGGAGCUUUCAGUUCGGCUGGACGAGAUACAGGUGCUACAUGGCUGUCGUCAGCUCGUGUCGUGAGAUGUUCGGUUAAGUCCGGCAACGAGCGCAACCCACAUCCCUAGUUGCCAGCAGUUCGGCUGGGCACUCUAUGGAAACUGCCCGUGAUAAGCGGGAGGAAGGUGUGGAUGACGUCAAGUCCUCAUGGCCCUUACGGGUUGGGCUACACACGUGCUACAAUGGCAGUGACAAUGGGUUAAUCCCAAAAAACUGUCUCAGUUCGGAUUGGGGUCUGCAACUCGACCCCAUGAAGUCGGAAUCGCUAGUAAUCGCGUAACAGCAUGACGCGGUGAAUACGUUCCCGGGCCUUGUACACACCGCCCGUCACACCAUGGGAGUUGGUUCUACCCGACGACGCUGCGCUAACCUUCGGGGGGCAGGCGGCCACGGUAGGAUCAGCGACUGGGGUGAAGUCGUAACAAGGUAACC